GGCGGUAGGCCUAACACAUGCAAGUCGAACGGCAGCACANGGGANCUUGCUCCCUGGGUGGCGAGUGGCGGACGGGUGAGGAAUACAUCGGAAUCUACUCUGUCGUGGGGGAUAACGUAGGGAAACUUACGCUAAUACCGCAUACGACCUACGGGUGAAANUGGGGGACCGCAAGGCCUCGCGCUAUUGGAGCGGCCGAUGUCGGAUUAGCUAGUUGGUGGGGUANAGGCUUACCAAGGCGACGAUCCGUAACUGGUCUGAGAGGACGACCAGCCACACUGGGACUGAGACACGGCCCAGACUCCUACGGGAGGCAGCAG
rnacentral:rRNA from 1 species